UGCACACACUCCUCACAUUCCACCCACUCCCCACCCACUCACACGAGCUACUGGGCACAACACCCAUCUUUCUGAGCCGGGUUCCUCAACAUGAUCAUCAACGAUGUCACAGUGCAGCUGGACGAGGGACUAGCUAGAGAAUUUGUCCAAGAUCAAGAAAGGAGAGGAUAUGAUCGAGUCAGAGGAAUAUGACACACUCAGUGCAGACGAGAAGAAACAGCAGCUGACCGAGGCGAAGGCGAUGGCACGGAACAGGAAUCUGUUGGGUAGUCGCACUGUACACGCCCUCCAGUUCAUCACCAAGGAUACUCGUCAGGCAUCUGUAUCCCCCGUCCUAUAGUGGAAAGGAUGGCAGCCAU